rnacentral:rRNA from 1 species
ACGGGUGCGGAACACGUACACAACCUUCCUUUAAGUGGGGGAUAGCCCGGCGAAAGCCGGAUUAAUACCCCGUAACAUAUUGAAUAGGCAUCUAUUUAAUAUUAAAGCUCCGGCGCUUAAUGAUGGGUGUGCGCCUGAUUAGGUAGUUGGCGGGGUAACGGCCCACCAAGCCUGCGAUCAGUAACUGGUGUGAGAGCACGACCAGUCACACGGGCACUGAGACACGGGCCCGACUCCUACGGGAGGCAGCAGUAAGGAAUAUUGGUCAAUGGACGCAAGUCUGAACCAGCCAUGCCGCGUGGAGGGUGAAGGUCCUCUGGAUUGUAAACUUCUUUUAUCUGGGACGAAAAAGGGUCUUUCUAGAUCAACUGACGGUACCAGAUGAAUAAGCACCGGCUAACUCCGUGCCAGCAGCCGCGGUAAUACGGAGGGUGCAAGCGUUAUCCGGAUUCACUGGGUUUAAAGGGUGCGUAGGUGGGUCUGUAAGUCAGUGGUGAAAUCUCCGAGCUUAACUUGGAAACUGCCAUUGAUACUAUAGAUCUUGAAUAUUGUGGAGGUCAGCGGAAUAUGUCAUGUA